rnacentral:rRNA from 1 species
CGACGGGCUCUUCGGAGCUAGUGGCGGACGGGUGAGGAACGCGUGAGAACCUGCCUCAAGGUCGGGGACAACAGUUGGAAACGACUGCUAAUACCGGAUGAGCCGAAUAGGUAAAAGAUUUAUCGCCUAGAGAGGGGCUCGCGUCUGAUUAGCUAGAUGGUGAGGUAAAGGCUUACCAUGGCGACGAUCAGUAGCUGGUCUGAGAGGAUGAGCAGCCACACUGGGACUGAGACACGGCCCAGACUCCUACGGGAGGCAGCAGUGGGGAAUUUUCCGCAAUGGGCGAAAGCCUGACGGAGCAAUACCGCGUGAGGGAGGAAGGCUCUUGGGUUGUAAACCUCAAAACUUAGGGAAGAAAAAAAUGACGGUACCUAAUGUAAGCAUCGGCUAACUCCGUGCCAGCAGCCGCGGUAAUACGGAGGAUGCAAGCGUUAUCCGGAAUCAUUGGGCGUAAAGAGUCCGUAGGUGGCACUUCAAGUCUGCUUUCAAAGACCGAAGCUCAACUUCGGAAAGGGAGUGGAAACUGAAGAGCUAGAGUAUAGUAGGGGUAGAGGGAAUUCCUAGUGUAGCGGUGAAAUGCGUAGAGAUUAGGAAGAACACCAGUGGCGAAGGCGCUCUACUGGGCAUAUACUGACACUGAGGGACGAAAGCUAGGGGAGCGAAAGGGAUUAGAUACCCCUGUAGUCCUAGCGGUAAACGAUGGAUACUAGGCGUAGUGCUGUUAGAACGACUGUGCCGAAGCUAACGCGUUAAGUAUCCCGCCUGGG